AUAAUUUACUUUCCGAAUAGUUAUAACCAAUAUUGAAAUUAAUUUAUUGGAUUUAUUUUGUGGCAUGAUUAACCUGGCAUUAUACCAUAUUAGAGCAAGAGUGAAAAGUUAUCCACAUUAAAAGAGUAAGGUUGUUACAUAAUCAGUUUAUAUACAUCGCUUAACAUUAAACCACAUUAAAUCGACAUUCACAUUUCUCUUAAUUAACCAUUGGUUUAGUCUAAUAGUAACGUAUAUAGCCCUAUUCAAAUAAACUUUUUAUAUUACAAAAGUCCCCG
rnacentral:lncRNA from 1 species